rnacentral:rRNA from 2 species
GCACCCCAGGUCAGGCGGGGCUA